GACAGAGGGUGCAAACGUUGUUCGGAAUUACUGGGCGUAAAGCGCACGUAGGCGGCUUUGUAAGUUAGAGGUGAAAGCCCGGGGCUCAACUCCGGAAUUGCCUUUAAGACUGCAUCGCUAGAAUUGUGGAGAGGUAAGUGGAAUUCCGAGUGUAGAGGUGAAAUUCGUAGAUAUUCGGAAGAACACCAGUGGCGAAGGCGUCUACCUGGCCAACUAUUGACACUGAGGCGCGAAAGCGUGGGGAUCAAACAGG
rnacentral:rRNA from 1 species